rnacentral:tRNA from 1 species
GGAGGGUAUAGCUCAGUGGUAGAGUGCAUGCUUAGCAUGCAUGAGGUCCUGGGUUCAAUACCCAGUACCUCUA